GUACAACUCUCAGCAACGGAUAUCUUGGCUCUUGCAACGAUGAAGAACGCAGCGAAAUGCGAUACUUAAUGUGAAUUGCAGAAUUCCGCGAAUCAUCGAGUCUUUGAACGCAAGUUGCGCCCGAGGCUUGUCCGAGGGCAUUUCCGCUAGAGCGUCACC
rnacentral:rRNA from 2 species